rnacentral:tRNA from 1 species
AACUUGAAACCAAAUUAGAUUGCAAAUCUAAUAAAGUACACACAUAAUACUCAAGUUU